rnacentral:tRNA from 1 species
GCCGGAGUAGCUCAGUUGGUAGAGCAGAGGACUGAAAAUCCUCCGUGUCC